AUUGAACGCUGGCGGCAGGCUUAACACAUGCAAGUCGAGCGGUAGAGGGGAGCUUGCUUCCCUUGAGAGCGGCGGACGGGUGAGUAAUGCCUAGGAAUCUGCCUGGUAGUGGGGGACAACGUUCGGAAACGGACGCUAAUACCGCAUACGUCCUACGGGAGAAAGUGGGGGAUCUUCGGACCUCACGCUAUCAGAUGAGCCUAGGUCGGAUUAGCUAGUUGGUAGGGUAAGGGCCUACCAAGGCGACGAUCCGUAACUGGUCUGAGAGGAUGAUCAGUCACACUGGAACUGAGACACGGUCCAGACUCCUACGGGAGGCAGCAGUGGGGAAUAUUGGACAAUGGGCGCAAGCCUGAUCCAGCCAUGCCGCGUGUGUGAAGAAGGUCUUCGGAUUGUAAAGCACUUUAAGUUGGGAGGAAGUUCAGUAAGUUAAUACCUUGUUGAAUUGACGUUACCGACAGAAUAAGCACCGGCUAACUCUGUGCCAGCAGCCGCCGUAA
rnacentral:rRNA from 1 species